rnacentral:rRNA from 1 species
UACGUAGGGAGCAAGCGUUGUCCGGAAUCAUUGGGCGUAAAGCGUGCGCAGGUGGUCUCGCAAGUCGAGUGUGAAAGCCCCGGGCUUAACCUGGGAAUUGCGCUCGAAACUACGGGACUGGAGUGUGGCAGAGGGAGGUGGAAUUCCACGUGUAGCGGUGAAAUGCGUAGAGAUGUGGAGGAACACCGAUGGCGAAGGCAGCCUCCUGGGCCAACACUGACACUCAGGCACGAAAGCGUGGGGAGCAAACAGG